UACGAAGGGGGCUAGCGUUGCUCGGAAUCACUGGGCGUAAAGGGUGCGUAGGCGGGUCUUUAAGUCAGGGGUGAAAUCCUGGAGCUCAACUCCAGAACUGCCUUUGAUACUGAGGAUCUUGAGUUCGGGAGAGGUGAGUGGAACUGCGAGUGUAGAGGUGAAAUUCGUAGAUAUCAGGAGGAACACCGGUGGCGAAGGCGGCUCACUGGCCCGGAACUGACGCUGAGGUACGAAAGCGUGGGGAGCAAACAGG
rnacentral:rRNA from 1 species